GAUGAACGCUGGCGGCGUGCUUAACACAUGCCAGUCGAACGGAAAGGCUCCUGCUUGCAGGGGUACUCGAGUGGCGAACGGGUGAGUAACACGUGGGUGAUCUGCCCUGCACUUCGGGAUAAGCCUGGGAAACUGGGUCUAAUACCGGAUAGGACGAUGGUUUGGAUGCCAUUGUGGAAAGUUUUUUCGGUGUGGGAUGAGCUCGCGGCCUAUCAGCUUGUUGGUGGGGUAAUGGCCUACCAAGGCGUCGACGGGUAGCCGGCCUGAGAGGGUGUACGGCCACAUUGGGACUGAGAUACGGCCCAGACCCCUACGGGAGGCAGCAGUGGGGAAUAUUGCACAAUGGGCGCAAGCCUGAUGCAGCGACGCCGCGUGGGGGAUGACGGCCUUCGGGUUGUAAACUCCUUUCGCUAGGGACGAAGCGCAAGUGACGGUACCUGGAGAAGAAGCACCGGCUAACUACGUG
rnacentral:rRNA from 1 species